CCUAACACAUGCAAGUCGAACGGUAACAGGAAACAGCUUGCUGUUUCGCUGACGAGUGGCGGACGGGUGAGUAAUGUCUGGGAAACUGCCUGAUGGAGGGGGAUAACUACUGGAAACGGUAGCUAAUACCGCAUAACGUCGCAAGACCAAAGAGGGGGACCUUCGGGCCUCUUGCCAUCAGAUGUGCCCAGAUGGGAUUAGCUAGUAGGUGGGGUAACGGCUCACCUAGGCGACGAUCCCUAGCUGGUCUGAGAGGAUGACCAGCCACACUGGAACUGAGACACGGUCCAGACUCCUACGGGAGGCAGCAGUGGGGAAUAUUGCACAAUGGGCGCAAGCCUGAUGCAGCCAUGCCGCGUGUAUGAAGAAGGCCUUCGGGUUGUAAUAC
rnacentral:rRNA from 1 species